rnacentral:lncRNA from 1 species
AAUUAUUGGAAUACAUUGAAUCUGAAGAAUGUGAAGGAAUUAUUAGCCUUACCACUAGUGUGUACAUUAUUGCUUUAAUUAAAGGUAAUCAAAAACCUUCCUAUAUAAAGGCCAUUGCAGCUAUUCUUCAGAAAAAAAUAACAAUGUACAGCGAAAUUACCAAGGAAGACCUGGAAAGACUGCUCUGUAAAGCUGCUUUGGGCAUUGUGAAUGAAAUGCUAGGUCCUAGAUCAUAGAAACAAGAGAAUGGGAAGCAAGAUCUUCUUAAAAAGGAACUACAUGCCUUAUAGUGUUGUGUCUCAAGUAAAAUAGAACAUUGUUUAACUGUUGUUUUUUUUAAUAUUUUUGUUGUAGGUUAAAAAAACCAUUGUGGUUCAAAAAAUUAAUUUUAUAAAAAAUUACCGUAUUUGCCGGCGUAUAAGACGACUGGGCGUAUAAGACGACCCCCCAACAUUUC